UUCAGACAUGUGCUCUUCCUAUCUAUUUCACGCUAGGACAUUCUCGAUUCUUCGCGACCGCUUGUCGUUUGAUACAUGCGCUCAUUAUACGUAUAUGUAACAUCCAUGGUACACGAGCUUCAUCUACGGCCACUCGCUUUCCUAGCAUGGGUUAUUCCAAUAUAUACAUUAUGGUAUAGGAAAACGUAUGUUUUACAAUUAAUAAAGACGCCGCGAAGGGAUGCACUUAUAUGCUCAACUACGUAAUUUCUUGGU